ACAGGGCAGCACGGUGGCGCAGAGGGUAGCACGUUUGCCUCACAGCAAGAAGGUCUCUGCUUCGAGCUUCGGCUGGGUCAGUUGGCGUUUCUGUGUGAAGUUUACAUGCUCUCCCCGUGUUGGCGUGGGUUUCCUCCGGGUGCUCCGGUUUUCCCAAGUCCAAAGACAUAGGUGAAUUGGAUUGGUGUACGCUGAUGGUCUGCUGAGAAUUCUGCUGAGUUGAAGGGAUCCUCCUGUCAGACAACCUCUCCAAAGUACAAUAGGACUAGGUUCUUACUACAAGGAUUAGUUUUGGCUACUGCAGUCCCGGUUUGGGCCAGCCUCAUUUGUGAAGACUAAAGAUGAAGACAACAUACAAGAAAAAUUUAGAGGAUGGCGACACUUUUUAUUCCACCUAAAUAUUCCCUUUUAUGUGUAAGCAACAUUCCACAAGACAAAACAAAAGUAAAUGACAGGUUAUUUCUUUUAAUUUUGUCUGUUUUCUUGGAACAUUGUACACAAUUUACAACCAGUUAUAUAUAUAUAUAUAUAUAUAUAUAUAUAUAUAGGUCAGAGCAAGAAAAUGUUGUUUUCUUCUGGAGAAAGUCUUAUUUCUUUUAUUUCGGCUAGAAUACAAACAGUUUUGAAUUUUUUAAAAAACAUUUUAAGGUCAAUAUUAUUAGCCCCUUUAAGCAAUUUUUUUCGACUGUCUACAGAACAAACCAUCGAUAUACAAUAACUUGCCUAAUUACCCUAACCUGCCUAGUUAAGCUAUAAUUAACCUAGUUAAGCCUUUAAAUGUCACUUUAAGCUGUAUAGAAGUGUCUUGAAGAAUAUCUAGUCAAAUAUUAUUUACUCAGUUAUUAUAAAUGAGUUAUUAAAACUAUUGUGAUUAGAAAUGUGUUAAAAAAUAUUUCCGUUAAACAGAAAUUAAUGGAUGUAUAUAUAUAAUGACAAAAUCUGUUUUGUGUCGUGCAUUAGAGUUUGCUUAAAAAACUGGUUAUCUCUGAGAAAGUAUUGUUAUUUUAUAUUAUUGAUGUGUUAUUAGUUCAGAGGAUAUUGCAAAUUGUUGAAUGCCAUUUAUAAAAAAAAAAAUUACUACAGACUUUAAUAAGAUUUUAUCAGACAAUUACUUUAAUUUGUAUGAUUUUAUUUACUACUGUAAAUAUUGUUUGCUUGGUAUUUAUUUUGUGUUUGUGUACUCUUUUAUUAUUGUAACUCCCUGAAGAAAGUCUUUUGGAUACUGAACACAUGACUGGUAUUAUCAUGACUGGUAUUAAAAUUAUAGCCUUGGAAACAUGCAUUUUCUUUAACACUAUUUAAGAAAUUAUAAGCAUUAUAACGUGUGCUUACACAAGUUAUUUGUGUUUUUACUAUAGUAAACUAUAGUCACCCUUAGUGUACAUGUUUUGAAGUACUUGUAAAUAUUCCUAUGGUCUUAAUGUAAAUGCUGCAAUGGACUUUGUAUUUAAAACCUUUAUUGCACAGCAGUUCAGCCAUGGUUAUAGUACAACUUGUUGGUUUUGUUUUAAACGUGGUAAAACAUGGUUAUGUGUGAUAAAAGUAUGUCAAUCUAUUUGUAUGUUUGUGAAAAUAUUAAUAAAUCUUCAACUGUUA
ensembl:processed_transcript